UACGAAGGGGGCUAGCGUUGCUCGGAAUCACUGGGCGUAAAGCGCACGUAGGCGGAUUGUUAAGUCAGGGGUGAAAUCCUGGAGCUCAACUCCAGAACUGCCUUUGAUACUGGAGAUCUUGAGUUCGGGAGAGGUGAGUGGAACUGCGAGUGUAGAGGUGAAAUUCGUAGAUAUUCGCAAGAACACCAGUGGCGAAGGCGGCUCACUGGCCCGAUACUGACGCUGAGGCACGAAAGCGUGGGGAGCAAACAGG
rnacentral:rRNA from 1 species